UAUACCGUGGUGUAGUGGUUAACACCCCCGACUUGCAGUUAACGGAGACCCAGGUUCGAUGCCUGAUGGCAGUU